rnacentral:ncRNA from 1 species
GGACGCCGUAUGACGGGAAACUGUCACGUACGGUGUUAGGUGGGGGAAAAGGUGGAGAUAAUAUCAAAUCCUUACCUAUCACGC